CAAUCAAAGACACUUUGCUCUAGUAAUUCAUUCGGGUAAAAUGAUAAAAAAAAACAUUCGAAAAGGUCAGCGGUAUAUCUCAUGUUCUUCUGAUACGUACAAGCUUGGCCGGCUAGAUCUGAAAGUACUAGUCACCAGCUUUCCAACGCGUCCCCUAACGUCAAAUUUUAUUUAGAACUGCCCAAGGAAAUUGAAUUCAAAGUUACCGGUUUUCCGGUACACUUUUCAGGGGACCCAGGAUAACUCACUGAACUUUUAAUUUUCCAAAAAAAGUUGUUCUAGCGAUUUUAGAUAUUGAGCCAGCCUUUCAGAUUCCGGUCCAACCAUAAACAAAUAUUCAGUUUUGACCGAGAUAUUUCACUUUUAAGUUUUACACUAAAACCGGUUUUUACCGGUACUUACCGGUUCAAAACACAAAAAAAAAAUUAAUUAGGAAAGUCUG